AUAACUACAUAACAACAUUAUUGAUAUAAAUACUCACUGCAAUCCCAAACUCUAUACAUCAUUAUAAUUACUCAACAUAGAUUUAUUUUACAAUGGAUGCAAUAAGAAAAGUACUUGCUAAGGAGCCCAUUGAAACUUUCUCUGCUAUUAAGUUAUCAGUACAAGUUAGCUUUAUAUUAAUUCAUCACAAUUUAAUUUUUU
rnacentral:lncRNA from 1 species